AAAUUAAGUUUUAAAUCUUGAAAUUAUACAGUUAUCUUAUUGAGAAAUGAGCAAAUCAAAUCGGACAAACAGACCCGGUCAUAUACCAAUAGGAAAUAAAAAUACACAGGAUACUAACCAUCGAUAUUAUAAAGAAUUUUAUGAACGAUUAAAUUUAUCUAUCGAUGAUUAUGUAAAUAUAACCUUACUACGGUUUACUUAUAUACAACAGUAAUUUAAAUAAAUUUAUGUGAGUAAAAUAUGAAAUAAAUUCUGUAUUACAUAA